rnacentral:rRNA from 1 species
UACGUAGGGGGCAAGCGUUGUCCGGAUUUAUUGGGCGUAAAGAGCGUGUAGGCGGCUUUACAGGUCCGUUGUGAAAACUCGAGGCUCAACCUCGAGACCGCCGGUGGAAACCGUAAGGCUAGAGUCCGGAAGAGGAGAGUGGAAUUCCCUGGUGUAGCGGUGAAAUGGCGCCAGAUAUCAGGAGGAACACCCCGUGGCGAAAGCGGCUCUC